CAACUCGUGUUCAGGCAAUCCGCCUGCCUUGGCUUCCCAAAGUGCUAGGAUCACAGGAAUGAGCCACUGCUCCUGGCCGACAAAUUCAAAUUUUAGUGUGCAGAGAUAGUUUUAUUAGGACACAGCCAUGCUUACUUACUAUUUUAGGUUGCUUUGUGUUACAACAGGACAGUUUAAUAUUUGCAAGAGCCACAGUAUGGCUUGAAAAGCCUAAAAUAUUUACUCUCUGGCCCUGAACAGAAAAAGUUCGCAGGCAGAGAACCUAAUUCACAAAUACUAGGAAUCCACGUUGAAGGUUGGGCAGCCCAAGGGAGGUGGUCAAGUGUCUCUGGGCAAGGCAGGGGCAAGGGCAGCCCAGCAGGAAGCAGGAAGGGAACUUGCCUAAGGUUGCCCUGCUGGGAAGGGGUAGAGCUAGCCUGUGAACCCAGGCUUGUUUGCUUUCAGAAGCCAAAUACCUGUCCACAGCCACAGAAGAGGCCUGGACUUUGGUAUUUAAAGGAGAGAUAGAGACCCUCCUCACUGAGAGGAUCAGAGAAGACUUCUUGGAGGAGGUGGCAUUGGAGCUAGCAUUGAGGGGCCUGAAGGAGAGAGUGAGAAAGACAGAGGGAUGCAGAAGGUUGAAAUGUGGUGAUUUCAGCUGGAGCUGGGAGAAGACUUCUGUCCAAGGGAACACACUUCACAACUGGGCGUAGUUAUGGUGGCCCAAAGAAUAAGGGCCUGUCUUUGGGACUUUUCUGUGAAAAACAACUGGUCUCGUUGAACAAAUUGCCUCCCUGAGUCGGACCAGCUGCCCGUGGAUCCUACGCUGCAGUCACACCAGACUCCUCAUGUUGUGGGAGGCCUGAACUUCUUUUCCUGAGGAAGGAACUCAGAUAAAAACAAAUGUAAGUUUCAAGCUUUAAGACCAGAAGGGGCAAUAUCUAUGUUUAUCCAAAAAAACUGUCUGUUUAUUGGGUAGGUCUCACCACUUUGUCUCCUGAAUGUCUUCCCGAGGAGACUCUGAUCUCCUUGAGGGCAGGGCAUGUGCCUUUCCUGUCUGGAAGGCACCUAGUAAAUGCCCAAUAAGCAUUGGUUGUUAUUGUGAAAGAGCAGUAACUGAUUCACAGCUGCUUCCAUAGCACUUCCUGGACUCCAGCACUCACUCCGGACCAGGCUCAAGUUUCUGGAUGGGUAGGAGGGCUGGCUGGGAACAAAAGAAAACAAAGGAAAGCUGAUUUGGUUCUUUGUUCUGUGUAGCCCUGUGCUAAGCUUCCCCGUCCUCCAGCAGCUUGCACAGACCCUGGUUCCAGCACUUGGAGUUUUACUGCAAUAAUGCUCCAUUAUUGCUGUGUUAGAGUGUUAUUAUGUAUUUCCAUGUCUGUCCCUCCCCCUAGACUGGAAAUGCCUUAAGGUUUCUUUAGUCCCAGGACCUAGAUCAGUGCCUGGCAUAUAACAGGUGUCUUGUAAAUGACCGUUGACUUCAUGAGUGGGUUUUAUGUAUUGUAUUGUACUGUAGUGUAUUCUAGAGUAUUGUAUUCUAGAAUAUUGUAUAUGUUUGAGACAGUCUCACUCUGUCACCCAGGCUGGAGUGCAGUGGCAUGAUCUGAGCUCACUGCAACCUCCACCUCCCAGGUUUAAGUGAUUCUUGUGCCUCAGCUUCCCAACAUAGCUGGGAUUACAGGCGUGCACCACCACACCCAGCUAAUUUUUGUAAGUUUAGUAGAGAUGGGGUUUCACCAUGUUGGCCAGGCUGGACUUGAACUCCUGGCGUCAAGCAAUCUGUCCGCCUCAGCCUCCCAAAGUGCUGGGAUUACAGGCAUGAGCCACCACGCCCAGCCAAAUUUUUGCAUUUUUAUAGAGACGGGGUUUUGCCAUGUUGGCCAGACAGGUCUUGAACUCCUGGCCUGAAAUUAUCCACCUGCCUCGGCUUCCCAAAGUGCUGUGAUUACAGGCAUGAGCCACUGCACCUGGCCUGCAUGAGUGAAGAACUGAAAAAGGAGGACAGAAGGAAGGUUGGGGACAGGAUCGAGGUUUAGCAGGGUGUCAGAACCACCGUACUAGCCAGUUUUACUGCAAUAAUGCUCCAUGACAAGCCCUCCCAGAACACUGGCUUACAUCAACCAGUGUUUAUUCACAUAUUUUCCCCACUCAUGAGUCUGUGAGUGGGGAGUCGCCACUCAUAAGGCUGGCUCUGCUGGGGCUGAGCUAUACUUGGCUCUGGGCUUAACCUUAGGUAUGCUCCGUGUGUUUCUUCCCUUUCUUGGGCAAGUUGCUGUUUGGCAUGUGCCCUUCUCAUGGUGAAUGGCAGGAGUGGAAACAUGGUGCCACUUCAGGCUUUACCUUGGAACUGGCAUGCUGUUGCUUCUCACAUCCCAUUGGCCCAAACUGGUCACAUGGCCAAGCCCAAUGCUGCUGGGUAGGGAAAUAUAUUCCACCCACUCUCCUGCUCCAAGGUCACAAGGUAAGUCACAUGAAGAGCUGAAGAACAAUCUACCACAGCUUCCCUGAAACAAAACCCAGAACCUCUUAUGUUCCUCCAGUGAGAAACUCUAGAAGAGUGGCUGCUGGUCCCUGAGUGCCACUUGUGGUCCUGAUAGCCCUUUCCUCCUGGGUUUAUGGCAGAAAGAGACAAUUGUCCCCAUUGCCCAUUGCCCCUUUCUUUCUUUUAGUAAUAGAACACUCCAGGUUUUAGUUAGGCAUGUGGUGCCCACUAGGGGCCACAUUUCCCAGCCUCCUUUGCAGCUAGAUGUGAUCAUGUGACUAAGCUGUGGCCAAUGGGAUGAUGCACAAAUGCCACAGGCACCUCCUGAUGACAGUUGGUAUGAGGAAGCUGCAUGUCCUCCCUUCCUCUGUCCUCCUUGCCUUGGGCUGGAAUGUGGGCUCACAUGGAUGGUGAGGUAGCUUCAGCCAUGAAGACAAGGACAACACUCCAGGAUGACGGAGUAACACAGCAGAAGGAAUCUGGGUGUUCACACAAGCUCCUGGUGUUUGCCCUGGUUGCCUGCCCAACCCUGGUCCCUAAAGUGAGAGAAAAAUAAAAUUCUCUUCUGUGUUAUAUUUUUGUUUCUUCCAGCAUCUUAGCCUGUAUCUCAACUCACAUAAAGUCCCUCACUUGUCAUCCCUUUGCUGCCCCUGCUCUGGCACCUAAACACCCCUUGCCUACCUUUUAUCUCCCAUUCACCAACGUGUGGACCCAAAUCCCUUUUCUUGAUUUUCCUUAGCAAAAUGGAGACAGGAUGGAGUUUUUAAAAAUCGUAAACUACAAAGAGUAGUCAACGGCAAAAUAGAACCCAAGAAAUGAAGCAGAAAGCAAUCAAGUUUCCAUCACAGAGAUACCUCGCCCCAUCAUGGCCAUUACCCAGGGCAGUGUGAUUGGGCUUUGCCCAGGGGGCUGGAAAUUUAGAGGAUAUGGAAUUUAAAACAAUAAUUGCGGAAAGUGAUGAAAGUGAAACUGUUGUGACAUUUUUAACAUUUUGACAGCACAUGCACCCCUGCAUGACACAGAAACAAAGGGAUUUGGCCCUUCCAUAGGAAGCUUCCAGAAGGCCUGUGGUUAAUAACACCUCCUUCAUGAUUCCUAGAUGGAAAACCAAAGUUGGUUUGAGGGUGUGUUUCAGACCCUUGCCUGAGGCAGCCGAAGUGCCAGUUAGAGCUCUGUGUCCUACCAAAGGUGACUCACCCCAUGGACUCUGCACCUUUUCACUCUCACCUUUCAGAAUUUCCAACUAUUCCGAUUUCAUGGCCACUUUUAUGGAGCUUCUUGAUCCGCAAACUUCAGGCUACUUCCCUCCAACCCACAUCAUCUUAUCUCCUGCCCUCUCUGACCUGGGCUCCUGGCCAUGACAUUUCUUUCUUGGCCAAGACCAGGAAAGUUCCCCCUAACUCUCUGGAACCCUUCUUCAUCAUGCCAGGUUCCAUUCACAGUGACUUGUGUCAUCCCUAGACCAUUGCCAGGAAUCUGAUGAUGAGUCCAAGAAAUAACCUGUGACCCAUAUUUUCCAGAGUCCUGCAGGAAUUUGACAUUUGUAGAUCUCAAAGUCUCACAAUUGCUUUUUUUUUUUUUUUUUUUGUCUUUUUUAGAUGGUCUUGCUCUUGCUCUGUCGCCCAGGCUGGAGUGCAGUGGUGCAAACUUGGUUUACUGCAGUCUUAAGUCUUAACCUCCUGUGCUCAAGUGAUCCUCCUGCCCCAGCCUCCCAAAGUGCUGGGAUUACAUGCAUGAGCCCCCAUGCCCAGCCCAACAAUUUCUUAAUUAUACUAUAGCCUUUGCUUCCACAGGAAGGAAGGGAGGAAGAAAUUAUUUUUUUUUCCGAGACGGAGUCUCGCUGUGUCGCCCAGGCUGGAGUGCAGUGGCGUGAUCUCGGCUCACUGCAAGCUCCACCUCCCGGGUUCCCACCAUUCUCCUGCCUCAGCCUCCUGAGUAGCUGGGACUACAGGCACCUGCCACCGUGCCCGGCUCAUUUUUUUGUAUUUUUAGUAGAGACCGGGUUUUACCGUGUUAGCCAGGAUGGUGUCGAUCUCCUGACCUCCUGAUCUGCCCGCUUCGGCCUCCCAAAGUGCUGGCAUUACAGGCGUGAGCCACCGCGCCCGGCCGGGAGGAAGAAAUAUUAAGGGAACAUCUAGUAUGUGCUAGAUAUUUUCCUAUUUUCUUUCUCAUCUAGCUGCAAGAUCAUAUGAUAACAUGAGACAGCAGAGAGGAGAAGACCCCUGUCUCACAGCCAGGAUUUGGGAUCCCAAGAAUGGAGCUUUUUUUCCACACUGUGCCUUGCUGGAAUCACCUCACGUCCCCACAUGCGAUGAGCUCAUCCUUCUCUUGGCACCACCUGCCUCUCAUCUUGGCCCUGGCUGGGACGCACCAACGUUUCUGCAGGAGGAAUAAAGCAAUAACAGGAAUCUCAUUUUUCUCCUUAAAAUAAUAUCUCUCUGUUCUGCCAGCAAGCAGGGAGCUACUCCUGCCAGCACUCCAGUGGGAAGCCUGUUCCCAAUCCGAUAGGAUUAGUCUGAUACUGGCUUCCCAGGAGCCCCCAGUAGCCAAGGCAGCCCUCAGGUGACCUUGAGCUCCUGGCUACAGAUCCCCUGAUGUCCUUCUCAGCCCCCAGAUAGUCACUCACCUCCAUGCCUCCAUCCCAGGCUCUCCAGGGCAAAGGGAUGCUAUUCUCACUAGUCCCAGGCUCCCCUAGCUGGUAGCUCCUUCACCAUCUCUCUAGGACCUAACCAAUUUCCUACAAGGAAAGGAUCACUGGAAAAACCAUUUUGAACAGGAAGAAUUUAAUUUUUUUGCAACAGGCUUUCCCCUCUUUAAAGAAAAGAAAGAAAAAAGAGUCCUCAUUUACCUAAAGGUCUGAGUGCCUGGAAAUUUCUUCCCUGUGUGCACAUUACCCACUUCCUGGCUGCAGGGAUGGAAGGACUCGGAGAAUUCGAAGGAUAUUAAACAGAUUCAUAAUGGACUCAGCAGUAUAAACAUGUCUCAAGUGCAGACAGAAAUGCCACAAGCUCCUACUUGGUUUAAUGAAAACAUACACCAGU
rnacentral:lncRNA from 1 species